rnacentral:rRNA from 1 species
UACGUAGGUGGCAAGCGUUAUCCGGAUUUACUGGGUGUAAAGGGAGCGCAGACGGCUGUGCAAGCCUGAAGUGAAAGGCGGGGGCCCAACCCCUGGACUGCUUUGGGAACUGUACGGCUGGAGUGCAGGAGAGGUAAGCGGAAUUCCUGGUGUAGCGGUGAAAUGCGUAGAUAUCAGGAGGAACACCAGUGGCGAAGGCGGCUUACUGGACUGUAACUGACGUUGAGGCUCGAAAGCGUGGGGAGCAAACAGG